rnacentral:rRNA from 1 species
UACGGAGGGUGCAAGCGUUAUCCGGAUUCACUGGGUUUAAAGGGUGCGUAGGAGGGCAGGUAAGUCAGUGGUGAAAUCUCCGGGCUUAACUCGGAACGGUCAAGUGAUACUGUCGUGCUAGAGUCCGGUAGGGGAGCAUGGAAUUCCUGGUGUAGCGGUGAAAUGCGCAGAUAUCAGGAGGAACACCAGUGGCGAAGGCGGUGCUCUGGGCCGGAACUGACGCUGAGGAGCGAAAGCGUGGGGAGCAAACAGG